GGGCCCCUUGCAUGAAUUUUAUGCAUCGAGCCUCUAGUUAAACAAUAACUGACCUGUGAAUUGGGAUCUGAGAGAGAGACAUGAAGUACUCUAAGUUGGUCAGAGGAGCCGGGAAAGUUUGGCCAUAGACAGUGGACUUGGGUAUAGGCUCUGAAGGAAGGGUUAAUGACAUGGGACAUAGAGAGAUUCUGGGAACUGCAGGGUUGGGUGCAGGGGUCAGGGCAGGGCUGUGUGCAGAGAGCAGAGUUGAGUGCACAAGGGUUGUGCUUGUUAUUGUAGAAACAACCAGAAAGCACUGGAGUGAUUAAAACCAGAAGAGGGGUAGCCUAUCGUGUGAAGAGAGCAGAUUUGCAUUUUGAAAGCUCCCCAGCUGCCUUGUGGACAGAGCAUUGCAGGGGCCCCUAUGCAAAAGUAAAAGUGCUACAGCUUCUGGGGGAGGAAAGGAGUCUCCUCAGCCAGGGCUGGAACAGAGGGGCAGACUUGGGGAUGAGAGCCAUGGGUUGGUGGGGGGCUGGAUGUGAGGAGUGGGGGGUUAUGAGCUGGCUUCUGGGUCUUGGCUGCAGGCCUGUUGGGUUUGAGUUAUCUGGGACAUUCAAAUAGAGAUAUCAUUUUAGUCCAUGGACUAGGGCUCGGCAGCAAGCUGAGUUGAAGAUAGAAAGGUGGGCACUAUUUGUGUUUAUGUGGUAGCGUCUAUAAAGAGGUGAAGGACACUCAUUGCAUUUGGGGACAUGGAUGACCUUCAGGACCUUUUGGAGUAUUUUGUGGCCUGAAGCCACAUGUGAAGAAUGGGGGGUGGAGGCAAGGAAAAGCCUGCAAGGGCUCUUACGGGAAAUGUGGCAGGGAUAGGGAAUGGGGGACAGGAGCUAGUUGGGAGGGGGUAUGUGGGUAAAGACGCCUCUGAAGGAGAAAAUGUGUCUGCAUACUUGGUGGAAUCUAUUUCCAUCUCUAUUUUUUCCUAGCUUCUUAGAGGUCCAAUUUACUAGUCUUUUAAACAUUUUUUAAAAUGGAAUUUAUUUGUGUGGUACUACCUAAUAAACGAGUAAUAUGCAAAUUAAC